UACGGAGGAGGCAAGCGUUGUCCGGAUUUACUGGGCGUAAAGAGCGUGUAGGCGGCCAAACAGGUCCGUUGUGAAAACUGGAGGCUUAACCUCCAGACGUCGACGGAAACCGUAUGGCUAGAGUCCGGAAGAGGAGAGUGGAAUUCCUGGUGUAGCGGUGAAAUGCGCAGAUAUCAGGAAGAACACCAAUGGCGAAGGCAGCUCUCUGGGACGGUACUGACGCUGAGACGCGAAAGCGUGGGGAGCGAACAGG
rnacentral:rRNA from 1 species